CAACGACAAAGCGCCGCCAUGGUUCCAACUAUUGUGGAUUUAGAGCUGUUUAUUUGACGUUUUUCACUUUCCUCACGGCCAAGACGCUUCAGGGACCUACUGGUUCGUUUGAAAGUGGUCCGGGCUCUUGUCUUGCAAGGGGCAAGUGUCCUUUGCCUAAUGCAUUUAAUAUACAGUAUGUUUUUGACGAAACGGCAUCAUGAAGCAAAAAAACUGAAUUGAUGAACGAACUGGGUGCUUAAUAUGGGAUGUUUAAGUAGCAGUACUUAGCAAAUGCUUUUGUCCAAACAACACACAAAAACAUUAGAAUAACAUCUGUUACCAUAAGAAUGAAAGUUCGUUUACUGUACUUCCUCCUCAUUUUUCUUCUCUCCGUUUAAUGGCAUUUAUUUAUCUUUUUUUACGGGUCCAGCCUCCCCGGGUACAGUGGCCUAAUCCCGUGUUUCACGUCACAACGCAAUGAACUCUGGGGAAUAUCCUCAGGUAAAGUCUGCUGAAGGGCCGAUUUACAGAAAGUGAGCAGCAUAAAGGGCUCAAAAUGAAGACGAGAGAGCACUCGUGCACUUGAUUUCACAGUGGGUCAGCCCUGAGCACUCACCAACUCAGCUGGAGCGCGCCUCAAAGUUCGUGAGUCUGAAGGAGGAAGAAACGAGAAGUUGUUGCACCUGCAGAUUGAAGGAGCUAACCGAGACACGCCCCGCAGCUAACGGAGAAUGGUCAGGUGAGCAGGAGGACACGAGAUCGCUUUGAACCCAAACUGAAGUAGCAGACGAGUGACUGAGUGAAACUGCUUGAACCAAAGCCCGGAUGUUUGCAGAGGUUUGGCGGACACCUUCAUCCCCACCCCGACCCGUACAUAAGUACGAAGAUGACUUUUGUGGUGGGGUGUCAUGCGAAAAGGGUCCCCAGAUGACCACUGACAAUAAACACCACAUAGUAGCUAACUUGUUGCAUGUGCCUGAACCUAAUGUCUUUUCACGUGAAGCACGACG